GGUCAAGCGAUGAAGCGCAUACGGUGGAUGCCUAGGCAGCCAGAGGCGAUGAAGGACGUUGUAGCCUGCGAAAAGGCUCGGUGAGGUGGCAAACAACCUGUGACCCGGGCAUGUCCGAAUGGGGAAACCCACUCAUCACAAGAUGAGUAUCCCGUACUGAAUUCAUAGGUGCGGGAGGCGAACCGGGGGAACUGAAACAUCUAAGUACCCCGAGGAAAAGAAAUCAACCGAGAUUCCCUCAGUAGCGGCGAGCGAACGGGGACCAGCCCUUAAGUCAAUGCACGGUUAGGUGAACGGCCUGGAAAGGCCGGCCAUAGUGGGUGAUAGCCCCGUAACCGAAAACCCGCAUUGGUGAAAUCGAGUAGGUCGGGGCACGUGAAACCUUGACUGAAGACGGGGGGACCAUCCUCCAAGGCUAAAUACU
rnacentral:rRNA from 2 species